CAUUGCUCUGUAUAAACGAGGUUCAAUAAACUCCCUUUUGCUUCAAGUUCAUCCUAUCGAAUUGUAUUGAUAGGGUUUUGUUAUUUUGUGUUCUCGGAAGCGAAUUAAAACCAGGAGAAGUUCAGGAUGAAGCGAAUGUUAAUGUUACACAACACCCCUGUAUACUGUAUAGGCAUCUGUCGAUCAUGGAAACCACGUCAAUCCACAUGGUUUAUGAGCUACAUAUGGUGGUUUAUCACUGAACAGUGGGAAGUUCUUCCUCUGAUAUUUCAUGAGUAAGUUUUGUUAAUAUUAUAGGGGCUUACAGAAAACCACUUGACAACUGUGUUCUUGUUGUUCCCUUUCAAUUGCAGAUGCAUACACUUCAACGAUAUUACAUUUGGGACCUGCUGUGAAUUUUUAAAUUAAUAUCAAUGGCGUGGAGGAUCCGGUUGAAAUUGACUGCGCAAAGGGGUUCUAUGGAGAACACACAAUCUUUGGCUGGCAAACCUGCUGGAAUGUUCUACCUACUGGGUCUCAAGGUGGUGGUCAGGAAAGAACUGUGAAAUGUAGGAAGACUCCAUAGGCCCAUAAAAAAUAUCCCAUAAAAAACAAUUGGUUCAACUUUGAGCAUCUUAGGAGCACUGCAUUAGCUGAUAUA